rnacentral:rRNA from 1 species
UACGUAGGGUGCGAGCGUUGUCCGGAAUUAUUGGGCGUAAAGAGCUUGUAGGCGGUCUGUCGCGUCGGCUGUGAAAACUCGGGGCUCAACCCCGAGCUGCAGUCGGAUACGGGCAAACGUAGAGUGUGGUGAGGGGGAGACUGGAAUUCCUGGUGUAGCGGUGAAAUGCGCAGAUAUCAGGAGGAGCACCGGCGGCGAAGGCGGCAUCCUGGACCGGCAUUGACGCUGAGGAGCGAAAGCUAGGGGAGCAAACGGG